ensembl:lncRNA
UCAAACAAAAAGUCUUUUUAACUAUGAUUUUCUUUACACGAUCACCUCCUGGAAAUUCAUCCACAUGUCCAAACACUGCCUUCCAAACUAUGAACUCAAAGCUUUAAGCAAUGGUCAAAAUUCUUAUAUUUAAUUUUUUUUUUUUUUUUUGUGAAACUUUUUUUUUUUUUGCGUUGUUUUUAUCCAUGGUAAUGCAAUCUGUAACAGUCUUAUGGUCUCCUUCAGUUUAAAAGAAAUUUCCAGCGCCAGAUGUCCUCCUAGGUAACUCUAUGAAGCGUUUUAAUUUCCUGACAAGAGAGAAUGUUGUUUAUUACCCUAAAUAAUCUAAAUCAGUAUAAGAAAGCUUUCUGAAGCACACACUGUUGCGCAACAUCGGAGCUGAUAAAACAUCGGAGCUGUUUUGGUGACACAGUGACAGCACUUCAACAAACUUAAAGCCCUUUUGUUAAGUGUUUGAAAAUGUGGUGUUUGUGGUGUUUGUUUUUUUUCAUGGCGUGGGUUAAAACAGAAUGGUCACAGGUUUAAUGAAGUCAUUCAUCUAUGGCUAAGAGGCCAAAAUAUAGAAAUGGCCAUUCUCAAUACUUUUUAGAACCAAAAAAAAUCUAAAUAAAAACCAGUUAAUGAUAUUUAAAACCCCUGGCAGAGGUCUAAGUAUGGAGUUUAAUUUGUAACCUUGGUCAGAUUAUCAGUCAGGUAAAACCAUCAUGGACUUAAACCUGACUAUCUAAACAGCUCUAAAAGGGUCUUGUAUUACUUCACUAAUGUAAAGGUAAAGGCGUACUAGCUACAGUAUAUCCUAUUCUCCGUGCAGACGGUGCUACAGACACACUCGAUCAGACACAAAUCUGUCAGAUCCAACCUGACAAAACGACAAUUCAUCACCACAGUAAUCCAUUAUGUAGCUGUGAUGCACUGUAGCCAUUUGUGCAGCCAUGUAUGACAUGAACUUUUUUCUACUUGCACAGCAACAAGAAACAAGUCAAAUGUAAACUAAAUAUUUUUCUAUAAUAUCUCAAGACCUAAGAAAGCAUCGGACCCUGACCCUGAUUUUUUGGUGUCUUUUUUUUUUUUGUGUGUGUGUCUAUUGCUGUAGGGUUUCUCAAUGGUGUAUCUUAUUAGUUGUUGUCAAAGCUAUUGUGUGCUGCAGUAUUUUCAAGUAUGUUUCUUUGUUAACGUCUUCUUUUGUUUAUUUAGCUUUCUUUAUUGGGGAUUUGAAGAAGUGUGAAGUCUCAUUAUUUCAAUCUGUUAACGUAGCGCUAUGUGUACCCUGUACCUUAGACUAAUAUUAUUAAGUAUGUUAUGAGAAUGGAUAUUUUACUGGCUUUAUAGAAUGUUAAAAAUGAAUAUAAUAAUGAUAAGAAGAAGAACGAUUUAACUCCAAAAAGUCGAGUACUUGCUAACUAAGCGCUUGUGUUACCAUUAAAGAUGUUGUGUGCUUCUCUUAAUUUUCGUUGUAGAAAAAUUGAGCGAGUUUUUAUUAGGCUUCGACAACUAACGAUAGCAGUGUAAAUUUAUGGAGGAUUUUAACAAACAUCUGGGUUAUAGAAGAAUAUAGUUAUUUUAAUUGUUCUAUUUACUAACUGUAGGGUGAGAAGGGGCUCGCAUUGUGGUGAACUAUGUUAUAGCUUGUUAUUCACUGUUACUUUUGAUCAUUUUUUCGGUCUCCAAGGUGAAUCGAGUUAUUAAUGAGAAUUUGUAUGCUCACAUAUGCAUAUUGUAUAUGUGUAGAAAUGUAAUCACACUUUGUCUUGGAUUUACAUUAAACUGUCACAGCAUUAAUCUCCUCAUCUCAUGAUCAUUUUUAUUUAUUUAUUUGCUUUAGUUUGAUGUCUCUUAUCUGCUUUUUGUGUUUUAUAACAGUUGGACAAUGUUCAUGGGUAAUUUAGUUAGCUUAAUACAUGUGUUAUUACCAAGAGAAGACCAUAAUUUGUGACUUCAUUAAUCAAAGCAUUCUCAUAUAUACAUGUCUCAACUUUUUAAGGAAUAUAACACUUCGAAACACGCUGAUGUAGGAAUUUACACCGCAUUUAGUUCCAGUCACUCAAUUCUCACCAUGCUGUUAGAUGGCUGCUGCAUGUUACAUGCUUGCUCAUUACUCUGUUAAACAACAAAAGACUAAGCUGUAAGUGCGACCAAUGAGUAAUGUUUUAACACAUUCAUGUUUUAGUAGCAGAUCAAAGAGGGGCAAACUACGCCUGCAGCAGUUUUACAUGUCGCUUGUGGUCAAUAAGUUAUUAUAAAUACUACUUUUCAUUCAUUUAAUUAUCCUUACUGCUAGAUAACAGACAAACACAAUAACACUUCAUUCACCUGGAAAGCAACAUAACUAAAGACUGACAUUUACAUAACAUAAC